rnacentral:rRNA from 1 species
GUCCACGCUGUAAACGAUGAAUACUAGAUAUUGCAGGAUUUGACCCCUGCAGUGUCGUAGCUAACGCGUUAAGUAUUCCGCCUGGGAAGUACGGUCGCAAGACUAAAACUCAAAGGAAUUGACGGGGGCCCGCACAAGCGGUGGAUUAUGUGGUUUAAUUCGAAGCAACGCGCAGAACCUUACCUAGGCUUGAAAUCCCACGAACCCGGCUUAAACGCUGGGGUGCUCUUCGGAGAAUGUGGUGACAGGCGCUGCAUGGCUGUCGU